AAAUUGAAGAGUUUGAUCAUGGCUCAGAUUGAACGCUGGCGGCAGGCCUAACACAUGCAAGUCGAGCGGUAGCACAGAGAGCUUGCUCUCGGGUGACGAGCGGCGGACGGGUGAGUAAUGUCUGGGAAACUGCCUGAUGGAGGGGGAUAACUACUGGAAACGGUAGCUAAUACCGCAUAACGUCGCAAGACCAAAGUGGGGGACCUUCGGGCCUCAUGCCAUCAGAUGUGCCCAGAUGGGAUUAGCUAGUAGGUGGGGUAACGGCUCACCUAGGCGACGAUCCCUAGCUGGUCUGAGAGGAUGACCAGCCACACUGGAACUGAGACACGGUCCAGACUCCUACGGGAGGCAGCAGUGGGGAAUAUUGCACAAUGGGCGCAAGCCUGAUGCAGCCAUGCCGCGUGUGUGAAGAAGGCCUUCGGGUUGUAAAGCACUUUCAGCGGGGAGGAAGGCGGUGAGGUUAAUAACCUUGGCGAUUGACGUUACCCGCAGAAGAAGCACCGGCUAACUCCGUGCCAGCAGCCGCGGUAAUACGGAGGGUGCAAGCGUUAAUCGGAAUUACUGGGCGUAAAGCGCACGCAGGCGGUCUGUCAAGUCGGAUGUGAAAUCCCCGGGCUCAACCUGGGAACUGCAUUCGAAACUGGCAGGCUAGAGUCUUGUAGAGGGGGGUAGAAUUCCAGGUGUAGCGGUGAAAUGCGUAGAGAUCUGGAGGAAUACCGGUGGCGAAGGCGGCCCCCUGGACAAAGACUGACGCUCAGGUGCGAAAGCGUGGGGAGCAAACAGGAUUAGAUACCCUGGUAGUCCACGCCGUAAACGAUGUCGAUUUGGAGGUUGUGCCCUUGAGGCGUGGCUUCCGGAGCUAACGCGUUAAAUCGACCGCCUGGGGAGUACGGCCGCAAGGUUAAAACUCAAAUGAAUUGACGGGGGCCCGCACAAGCGGUGGAGCAUGUGGUUUAAUUCGAUGCAACGCGAAGAACCUUACCUGGUCUUGACAUCCACAGAACUUUCCAGAGAUGGAUUGGUGCCUUCGGGAACUGUGAGACAGGUGCUGCAUGGCUGUCGUCAGCUCGUGUUGUGAAAUGUUGGGUUAAGUCCCGCAACGAGCGCAACCCUUAUCCUUUGUUGCCAGCGGUCCGGCCGGGAACUCAAAGGAGACUGCCAGUGAUAAACUGGAGGAAGGUGGGGAUGACGUCAAGUCAUCAUGGCCCUUACGACCAGGGC
rnacentral:rRNA from 1 species